GACGAACGCUGGCGGCGUGCCUAAUACAUGCAAGUCGAGCGCAGGAAGCCGUCUGAACCCUUCGGGGGGACGACGGUGGAAUGAGCGGCGGACGGGUGAGUAACACGUAAAGAACCUGCCCAUAGGUCUGGGAUAACCACGAGAAAUCGGGGCUAAUACCGGAUGUGUCAUCGGACCGCAUGGUCCGCUGAUGAAAGGCGCUCCGGCGUCGCCCAUGGAUGGCUUUGCGGUGCAUUAGCUAGUUGGUGGGGUAACGGCCCACCAAGGCGACGAUGCAUAGCCGACCUGAGAGGGUGAUCGGCCACACUGGGACUGAGACACGGCCCAGACUCCUACGGGAGGCAGCAGUAGGGAAUCUUCCACAAUGGACGAAAGUCUGCUGGAGCAACGCCGCGUGAACGAUGAAGGCUUUCGGGUCGUAAAGUUCUGUUGUAAGGGAAGAACAAGUGCCGCAGGCAAUGGCGGCACCUUGACGGUACCUUGCGAGAAAGCCACGGCUAACUACGUGCCAGUAGCCGCCGUAA
rnacentral:rRNA from 1 species